GAUGAACGCUGGCGGCGUGCCUAAUACAUGCAAGUCGAGCGAACAGACGAGGAUCUUGCUCCUCUGACGUUAGCGGCGGACGGGUGAGUAACACGUGGAUAACCUACCUAUAAGACUGGGAUAACUUCGGGAAACCGGAGCUAAUACCGGAUAAUAUAUUGAACCGCAUGGUUCAAUAGUGAAAGACGGUUUUGCUGUCACUUAUAGAUGGAUCCGCGCCGCAUUAGCUAGUUGGUAAGGUAACGGCUUACCAAGGCAACGAUGCGUAGCCGACCUGAGAGGGUGAUCGGCCACACUGGAACUGAGACACGGUCCAGACUCCUACGGGAGGCAGCAGUAGGGAAUCUUCCGCAAUGGGCGAAAGCCUGACGGAGUAACGCCGCGUGAGUGAUGAAGGUCUUCGGAUCGUAAAACUCUGUUAUUAGGGAAGAACAAAUGUGUAAGUAACUAUGCACGUCUUGACGGUACCUAAUCAGAAAGCCACGGCUAACUACGUG
rnacentral:rRNA from 1 species